rnacentral:rRNA from 1 species
AGAGUUUGAUCAUGGCUCAGAAUCAACGCUGGCGGCGUGCCUAACACAUGCAAGUCGAACGCGAAAGUGGAGCAAUCCAUGAGUAGAGUGGCAAACGGGUGAGUAACACGUGGGCGACCUACCUUUGAGUGGGGGAUAACCUUCCGAAAGGAGGGCUAAUACCGCAUGACAUUCUGUGUUUGGAUACAUGGAAAUCAAAGCCGGGGAUCGUAAGACCUGGCGCUUGAAGAGGGGCCCGCGUCCGAUUAGCUAGUUGGUGAGGUAACGGCUCACCAAGGCUCCGAUCGGUAUCCGGCCUGAGAGGGCGGACGGACACACUGGAACUGAGACACGGUCCAGACUCCUACGGGAGGCAGCAGUGGGGAAUUGUUCGCAAUGGGCGCAAGCCUGACGACGCAACGCCGCGUGGAGGAUGAAGAAUUUCGGUUCGUAAACUCCUUUCGACCGAGAUGAACACCUCGCGAUCUAAUACAUCGCGGGGCUGACAGUAUCGAGAGAAGAAGCCCCGGCUAACUCUGUGCCAGCAGCCGCGGUAAUACAGGGGGGGCAAGCGUUGUUCGGAAUUACUGGGCGUAAAGGGUUCGUAGGUGGCCAACUAAGUCAGACGUGAAAUCCCUCAGCUUAACUGGGGAACUGCGUCUGAUACUGGUUGGCUUGAGUGCAGGAGAGGAACGCGGAAUUCCAGGUGUAGCGGUGAAAUGCGUAGAUAUCUGGAGGAACACCGGUGGCGAAGGCGGCGUUCUGGACUGCAACUGACACUGAGGAACGAAAGCCAGGGGAGCAAACGGGAUUAGAUACCCCGGUAGUCCUGGCCCUAAACGAUGAAUGCUUGGUGUGGCGGGUAUCGAUCCCUGCCGUGCCGAAGUUAACGCAUUAAGCAUUCCGCCUGGGGAUACGGUCGCAAGGCUGAACUCAAGGAAUUGACGGGGCCCGCACAGCGUGGAGCAUGUGUUUAAUUCGACGCACGCGAAAACCUUACCCAAGCCC